rnacentral:rRNA from 1 species
AUGGGGGCUAAUNGCNNUCGAACGGGAACUUGAUCUGUUAACAAUNGCGGUGCAAGUUUAGAGGCCCCCUUUAAGNGGUAACGCGGAGGGGAACCUGCCGAAGAGAUGGGGCCNUUUUAUCGGCGAAAGGAGAAUUAAUACCGCAUGUGAUGAGAGGCGACAUCGUCUUGAAAUCAAAGCCGGGGCAACCUGCCGCUUUUUGAGGAGCCCGCGGCCUAUCAGCUAGUUGGUGAGGGAACGGCUCACCAAGGCCAUGACGGGNAGCUGGUCUGAAAGGACGACCAGUCACACUGGAACUGAGACACGGCCCAGACACCUNCGGGUGGCAGCNNGNGACAAGUUNUCUCAAUGGNGGCAACCCUGAAGGAGCGACNCCGCUUGNAGGAUGAAAGCUUUCAGGUUGUAAACUCCUGUCAGUANAAAACAAGUGGGGCCAAGUAACUACUGGCUACUUGAUAGUAUCAGAACAGGAUGAGACGGCUAACUAUGUGCCAGCAGCCGCGUUUAAUACAGAGGUCUCAAGCGUUGUUCGGAUUCAUUGGGCGUAAAGGGUGCGUAGGUGGCUCCAUAAGUNGNGGUGUGGAAAUUUCGGNAUCUUUACCUCCGAAAACUGCAUUCCGAUACUGNGGUAGCUUUGAAGGACUGGNAUAAGGANACUGGGAAAUUCACGGUGUAACCUGUUGAAAUGCCAUAUACAUCCGUCGAGUAAAGANCCGUGGUCGAAAAGUCAGGUUCUCUGGAACAGNCUCNCUGAANACUGAAGGCUCNAAAUGGCUAUUGGGAGUCAACUCUUGAUUAA